GUACAGCCUUCAUCUGAGGUAUCACUGC
rnacentral:piRNA from 1 species